UAAACGAAAGGAAUGAGGGUGGCCGAUGAAGUAGUCUUAUUUUUUAACGAACGAAGUGAACAAAACUUUGCGUAAAAAAUAGGAUUAGUCUGCCCAAAUUCAAUUUAUACAGAGAAACGUCAUCAGCAUGGCUUUCUUAUACAACCGCUAGAGUGGCGGAGUAUGCCUGAAUUUCAGGAAACACUCUCUGACUAAUCCUUCCAAAAUUUUUUGGAGGGAUUUUU
rnacentral:sRNA from 1 species